ACACCUGUGGACGGGGACACGGGGAUGCAGAGCCGCUACAGCAGGUGCUGGGCGGGUGCGGGAUCCCUGAGGGCACCGCGUUCUGUGCAGGGGCCAGGGAGCCAGCAAAAUGCCAGUAGCUGUGAUGGGGUAGAAAGUCCCAAAACCCAGGAUCCAGUCCAGGAUUCCAUCUUGCCUAAGCCUGACUAUUUGGGAAAGGUAUAUUGCUUUGCAGUAUUGUGCUGGUUUCUGCCAUACGUCAACAUGCAUCAGCCAGAAAGGAAGAAGAAAAGGGGAAAGAGGAAGGAAGAAAGGAAAGAAGAGAGAGAAAGAAGAAAAGAGAGAAAUAAGCCCAUUCUUGAUUCAGACUUGAAACAAAAGAAAGCUACCACUAAUGAAAGAAACUGUUACUGAGACUUCCUUAGUGUCAGAGAUUCUACGUGCUUCAGAUAAAUUAAUUUCUUUUUAAAA